CUUGACUGCAAGAGGAGACACUGUGAGCCCUGGUCUGAAGUGAAUUUGAGUCAAGAUCAGAGAGACUGCAGCAAGACCGAGAUGUUUGGCAAAUGUUGUAAAUCCAGAGUGACACGCACCAAAUGCAGGCAAUCACAGUGAAAUCUAUGAAAAACUAUGCACAGGAAAGAUGGACCAACAACCAAGGUGGAAAAGACAACAAAUUGUGCAAAAUAUAUAUUGCUAUGGUGCAACCAGACAUGCCAAAUCUUCACAAACUUCUAAGAAAGGAGAGGCUCUGCCAUGCCUUUCUCUGUAAUGGCACCCAGGACAGAUCCUCUGAAAUGAUAAUGCCAAGGAAGUUAAAU